rfam:Microgenomates (Collierbacteria) bacterium GW2011_GWA2_42_17 TV06_C0002, whole genome shotgun sequence.
CGGGGUGUAGUGAAUCGGUAUCACGCUUCGUUCGGGACGAAGAGACAGGCGGUCCAAUUCCGCCCACCCCGA